UGGAGCAUGUGGUUUAAUUCGAUGCAACGCGAAGAACCUUACCUGGUCUUGACAUACACAGAAUCUUGUAGAGAUACGAGAGUGCCCUUCGGGGAAUUGUGAUACAGGUGCUGCAUGGCUGUCGUCAGCUCGUGUCGUGAGAUGUUGGGUUAAGUCCCGCAACGAGCGCAACCCUUGUCCUUAGUUACCAGCACUUCGGGUGGGAACUCUAGAGGGACUGCCAGGGAUAACCUGGAGGAAGGUGGGGAUGACGUCAAAUCAUCAUGCCCCUUAUGCUUAGGGCUACACACGUGCUACAAUGGGUGGUACAGAGGGCAGCCAAGUCGUGAGGCGGAGCUAAUCCCUUAAAGCCAUUCUCAGUUCGGAUUGUAGGCUGAAACUCGCCUACAUGAAGCUGGAGUUACUAGUAAUCGCAGAUCAGAAUGCUGCGGUGAAUGCGUUCCCGGGUCUUGUACACACCGCCCGUCACACCACGGAAGUUGGGGGCGCCCGAAGCCAGAUAGCUAACCUUUUGGAAGCGUCUGUCGAAGGUGAAAUCAACAACUGGGGUGAAGUCGUAACAAGGUAACC
rnacentral:rRNA from 1 species